rnacentral:tRNA from 1 species
AAGGGAAAAAGAAUAAAAAUAGCCGCUAACUAAUUUUUAAAGCGGUUAAACUCCGUUUAUCCCUUC